rnacentral:rRNA from 1 species
UGAACGCUGGCGGUAUGCCUAACACAUGCAAGUCGUACGAGAGUUUUUAACUCAAGUGGCGGACGGGUGAGUAACACGUGAGAAUUUGCCUUUAGGAGGGGGAUAACAACGGGAAACUGUUGCUAAUACCCCAUAUGCUUUCGAGUGAAAUAGAUUUAUCUGCCUAAAGAGAAGCUCGCGGCUGAUUAGCUUGUUGGUAAGGUAAUGGCUUACCAAGGCGACGAUCAGUAUCUGGUUUGAGAGGACGAUCAGACACACUGGAACUGAGACACGGUCCAGACUCCUACGGGAGGCAGCAGUGGGGAAUUUUCCGCAAUGGGCGAAAGCCUGACGGAGCAAUACCGCGUGAAGGAAGACGGCCUAUGGGUUGUAAACUUCUUUUCUCAGGGAGGAACUCAAUGACGUGUACCUGAGGAAUAAGCAUCGGCUAACUCC